rnacentral:lncRNA from 1 species
CACGUGGUUAGCAUAGUUAGUUAUCUACAACACAGUAUGUUAUACAGGAAACUACUAAAAUAAUGGAAACACUUGAGUGAGGGAUACAAAGUAUAUUGAAAGCAGUUUUAUUUUACCAGGCAAGUCAGUUAAGAACAAAUUCUUAUUUUCAACGAUGGCCUAGGAACAGUGGGUUAACUGCCUUGUUCAGGGGAAGAACGACAGAUUCUUACCUUGACAGCUUGGGAUUUGAUCUUGCAACUCUUUUGGUUACUAGUCCAACGCUCUAACCACUAGGCUACCCUGCCGUCCCUAGGCUACGUGUGGUUCCUGAGACUCAAACAGAGAAGAUAUCGUGUCAGCUGAUUGGGUGGUUCCACUACUGGGUUUAGCCAAGUGUUAUGAUCCUCAAAUUCAAAAUAAUGCAGUUUGGGCCCUUUUAAACCUCACACUGUCUGAGAGGACGAUGAGUGCUAUGUCAAGAGGGAGCCAUUCCUGUCCUGACACUUCUGUUUCAGUCCUCCAACUGUGAGGUCCAGACCAUGUCAUCCAACUACUGACACAACACUACGCCGCCAUCUCAGAAUAUAUACUGAUGUACCUCAAGAAUCAGGAAGUGAGUUUCCAGCAGCCGAGCAUUAUGCAAUCUCAAAGACUAAGAGGUGUCCGUGGUGAUGAGUGGUAGUGCGCUGGACGAGCAGCUAAAGAGGGUGCAUGCACAGACAAGAGUUAGACGAUUCAGAAUCCUCUGUCCUCCUGACCUGUCCACUGGAGCCCU